rnacentral:rRNA from 1 species
GACGAACCGUGCGAACGUUAUUCGGAACCACUGGGCUUAAAGCGCGUGUAGGCGGGAGGGCACGUCCGUCGCUGAAAUCCCCCGGCUCAACCGGGGAACGGGCGCGGAUACGACCUUCCUGGAGGGGCGUAGGGGGACCUGGAACUUCCGGUGGAGCGGUGAAAUGCGUAGAGAUCGGGAAGAACACCAGUGGCGAAGGCGGCCGGCUGGGGGCGCCCUGACGCUGAGGCGCGAGAGCGUGGGGAGCAAACCGG